rnacentral:rRNA from 1 species
AAAAACAAAGCAUUGCGAUAGUCGUAUAUUGAUAUUAACGCAAUGUGAUUUCUGCCCAGUGCUCUGAAUGUCAAUGCGAAGAGAUUCGUUUAAGCACGGGUAAACGGCGGGAGUAACUAUGACUCUCUUAAGGUAGCCAAAUGCCUCGUCAUUUAAUUCGUGACGCGCAUGAAUGGAUUAACGAGAUUCCUACUGUCCCUAGCUACGACUCGGCGAACUCACAGCCAAGGGGAACGGGCUUGGCAAAAUCAGCGGGGAAAGAAGACCCUGUUGAGCUUGACUCUAGUCAGUUAAUGUCAAAUCUUGAGUGAGGUGUAGAAUAAGUGGGAGAUGGUUAAGAGCCGUCGAUCUUGAAAUACCACUACUCGCUUUGAGUAUUUUUACUACUCAGUUGAUUAGGGAUGGGAUCUGUGUUUCCAAACUCUUAUCACCUGCUAGGUCAAGUCUAAGA